CCAAAAGGAAGGCCAAAAAUGGUAUUUUGCUAUUCACCCCUUGUUUUUGCACCAAAUUACCGUUGCUCGUAUCACUCUCCACCGCAUUCUCAUUAUGCAUUUUCCCAGUCUCAUUUCCCAAACUCUCGUCAACACUUUCAUCAAUUCUCGAUCCUCCAAGGCCAGAAUCAACGCUACCAUCUCCACUGCCAAACUCGUUGACUUUAGGUUUAGAAUAGGAAUUUGAGUUGAAUCCAGAGGAAGUUAAUUCAGGACUCAAAUUGGCAUUCUCCGGGUGCAAUGUACAAGAGAUUGACAGAGGGAAGAGACGAAAUCUUGAAUUUUGAAAGGUAAACAAGGAAAUAUUACUAGACAGAGAAAGAGA
rnacentral:misc_RNA from 1 species